rnacentral:rRNA from 1 species
AACUUCAAGGAAACGUGGGGCUAAUACCGGAUAGGAGCUCCUGCUGCAUGGUGGGGGUUGGAAAGUUUCGGCGGUUGGGGAUGGACUCGCGGCUUAUCAGCUUGUUGGUGGGGUAGUGGCUUACCAAGGCUUUGACGGUAGCCGGCCUGAGAGGGUGACCGGCCACAUUGGGACUGAGAUACGGCCCAGACUCCUACGGGAGGCAGCAGUGGGGAAUAUUGCACAAUGGGUGGAAGCCUGAUGCAGCAACGCCGUGUGCGGGAUGACGGCCUUCGGGUUGUAAACCGCUUUCGCUCAUGGCGAAGCUUUGUGUGACGGUAGUGGGUAAAGAAGCACCGGCUAACUACGUG